AGGAUAAACGCUGGCGGCGUGCCUAACACAUGCAAGUCGAACGUCCUACGCAAGUAGGGAGUGGCGGACGGGUGAGUAACACGUGGGCAAUCUACCUUUCGGUGAGGAAUACCGGCGAGAAAUCGCCGACAAUACCGCAUACGCUUCGCAAGAAGCAAAGUCGCAAGACGCCGGAGGAGGAGCCUGCGCCCGAUUAGCUGGUUGGUGGAGUAAUGGUCUACCAAGGCGACGAUCGGUAGCUGGUCUGAGAGGAUGAUCAGCCACAUUGGGACUGAGACACGGCCCAAAACUCCUACGGGAGGCAGCAGUGGGGAAUAUUGGACAAUGGGCGCAAGCCUGAUCCAGCCAUGCCGCGUGAGUGAUGAAGGCCCUAGGGUUGUAAAGCUCUUUUGUGCGGGAAGAUAAAUGACGGUACCGCAAGAAUAAAGCCCCGGCUAACUUCGUGCCAGCAGCCGC
rnacentral:rRNA from 1 species